rnacentral:rRNA from 1 species
UACGUAGGAUGCAAGCGUUGUCCGGAAUUAUUGGGCGUAAAGAGCGCGCAGGCGGUUUGAGAAGUCAGAUGUGAAAGAGGCCGGCUUAACCGGCAAGGGUCAUUUGAAACUGACAGACUAGAGUACAGCAGAGGAUAGCGGAAUUCCCGGUGUAGUGGUGAAAUGCGUAGAUAUCGGGAGGAACACCAGUGGCGAAGGCGGCUAUCUGGGCUGAAACUGACGCUGAGGCGCGAAGGCUAGGGUAGCAAACAGG